CCUUUGCGGCGGCCUACCAUGCAAGUCGAGCGGAAACGAGUUAUCUGAACCUUCGGGGAACGAUAACGGCGUCGAGCGGCGGACGGGUGAGUAAUGCCUAGGAAAUUGCCCUGAUGUGGGGGAUAACCAUUGGAAACGAUGGCUAAUACCGCAUGAUGCCUACGGGCCAAAGAGGGGGACCUUCGGGCCUCUCGCGUCAGGAUAUGCCUAGGUGGGAUUAGCUAGUUGGUGAGGUAAGGGCUCACCAAGGCAACGAUCCCUAGCUGGUCUGAGAGGAUGAUCAGCCACACUGGAACUGAGACACGGUCCAGACUCCUACGGGAGGCAGCAGUGGGGAAUAUUGCACAAUGGGCGCAAGCCUGAUGCAGCCAUGCCGCGUGUAUGAAGAAGGCCUUCGGGUUGUAAAGUACUUUCAGUCGUGAGGAAGGCGGCGGCGUUAAUAGCGGCGUUGUUUGACGUUAGCGACAGAAGAAGCACCGGCUAACUCCGUGCCAGCAGCCGCGGUAAUACGGAGGGUGCGAGCGUUAAUCGGAAUUACUGGGCGUAAAGCGCAUGCAGGUGGUUUGUUAAGUCAGAUGUGAAAGCCCGGGGCUCAACCUCGGAAUAGCAUUUGAAACUGGCAGACUAGAGUACUGUAGAGGGGGGUAGAAUUUCAGGUGUAGCGGUGAAAUGCGUAGAGAUCUGAAGGAAUACCGGUGGCGAGGCGUCCCCCUG
rnacentral:rRNA from 1 species